rnacentral:rRNA from 1 species
CAUAGACAGUUCACAUACCUUACUGUCCGCCCGGGAACUACGAGCAUUAGCUUAAAACCCAAAGGACUUGGCGGUGCUUCAUACCCACCUAGAGGAGCCUGUUCUAGAACCGAUAAUCCCCGUUCAACCUCACCCUUCCUUGUUCUUCCCGCCUAUAUACCGCCGUCGUCAGUUUACCCUGUGAAGGCCUAAUAGUAAGCAAAAUCGGCACAGCCUAAAACGUCAGGUCGAGGUGUAGCGUAUGGAAGGGGAAGAAAUGGGCUACAUUCCCUAAUUAUAGGGUAUACGGAUGAUUGUGCUGAAACGCAUGUCUGAAGGAGGAUUUAGCAGUAAGCAGGAA